CGGAAGUUUGAUUCUUGCUUAUUGUUGUCUUCCCACGAGAUGCUUGAAUAAUAUAUGAAAACUUUGGUGAUCCAGUUGGCUUAGUUUAAAAAACUUUCUUUUUCUUAUUUCAAUAUAUAGGAUUAGACAAUCAAUUUAAGUUGGAUUUAACAAGUGUAAGUUUUCUGGCAAAAUUUUGUGCCAGCAGCUGCGGUUAUACUUAGAGAAAAAGUGGGGAAUUUUUGGUUAAUAGUUAAUUAGAAUAUUUAAAACUUUAUUUGUAAAUAUAAAGGGUGAAAUCAGCUUAUAUUAAUUAAUUGAAGUUUAUUAGAAAUAUUAGUGAGUCUAUAAAAGUUAGGGAAUAAACUAGGAUUAGAUACCCUAUUAUACCUUACGUUAAUAUUAAUGCCUGAUUAUUAAUAGUUAUGUUCUUUAAAAUCAAAGAAUUUGGCGGUGUUUUAGUCUAAUUAGAGGAACCUGUUUUAUAAACGAUAAACCACGAAGUAUCUUAUUUGUUUUGAAUAGUUUGUAUACCGUCAUUAUUAGAUAACAUUUAUAGAUAGAGUUAUUGAUAUUAGUUUAAUUAGAUAUAUUAGAUCAAGGUGCAGCUUAUAAACAAGUAAAAAUGGGUUACAAUAAUAUUUGUUUACAACGGAUUUCUUUUUGAAAAUAAGGUUGAAGGAGGAUUUAUUUGUAAUUUUUUUUUAAUAAGUUAAUAUGAAUAUAGCUCUAAAAUAAGUACAUAUCGCCCGUCGCUUUCAUUUAUUAGAUGAGAUAAGUCGUAACAUAGUAGGUGUAUUGGAAGAUGUACCUAGAAAUCA
rnacentral:ncRNA from 1 species